rnacentral:rRNA from 1 species
GUAGGUGGCAAGCGUUGUCCGGAAUUAUGGGCGUAAAGCGCGCGCAGGCGGGUCCUUUAAGUCUGAUGUGAAAGCCCACGGGCUCAACCGUGGAGGGUCAUUGGAAACUGGGGGACUUGAGUACAGAAGAGGAAAGCGGAAUUCCAAGUGUGGCGGUGAAAUGCGUAGAGAUUUGGAGGAACACCAGUGGCGAAGGCGGCUUUCUGGUCUGUAACUGACGCUGAGGCGCGAAAGCGUGGGGAGCAAACAGGAUUAGAUACCCUGGUAGUCCACGCCGUAAACGAUGAGUGCUAAGUGUUAGGGGGUUUCCGCCCCUUAGUGCUGCAGCUAACGCAUUAAGCACUCCGCCUGGGGAGUACGGCCGCAAAGGCUG